GUGCUCACUUUGGCAGCACAUAUACUGAAGUUGGAAUGAUACAAAGAAGACUAGCAUGGCUCCUGAGCAAGGAAAUGCAAUUUCAUUAAGCAUUUCAUAAAAAA